UUUUUUAAUGCUAUCAUUGAGGCCACUAUGACUAUUGUGCUAUCUAUAGGUACUGAACAUGUAUGUCAUUACAAUAUCAAUAAGAAUCAUAGAUACUCUAAAUAGACAAGAAAAACAUGUUUUAUUUCAAUAUACAUAUAGACACACAUAUAGAAAGGAAGGAUACUAUAUUUAGGCGAGAAACACAGGACCUAGAAAAUCUAUUCAGAUUUGAAGGAGACAACACCGGUGGCCAAAUCUUGAGGGAAGCAGACUUUGACUGAAGAAACAGGUGGUGAAGAUUGAUGGGGAGACGAGGGCGUCAUGCAAGGACAUGCAACGGAUGGGAGGGAGACGAGGGCGGCGGGAUAGGGGAUGCUCGUGGUUGGCUGUGCAUGCGCUAGGUCCACGCCGAGAGGGCCAACCGCUGGCUUGGGGCUGAGCACCGGCAGCAGGUAGAUCUGGGGCAGCGGGCGGCGUCCAUGGAGCUGCGCGCGGCGGACCUGGAGCUGCGCGUGGCGGACCGGCCUGGAGCUGUGGGCGGCGGACCGGCUUGGAGUAGGGGCAGAAUCACGGAGGGAGCUGGUUGUGGACCUGAGCGCGACGGGAUUUUGGUGAGCGAUGGGAGGGAGUCACGCCAGGAGAGGAUAAGGUUGCCGCGUCUGGAGGAUAGAAGUAUUCGAGUUUCCGGGCAGUGUUAGGUUCAGUCCCUAGUGGGCACCUACAAUGCUGAGAUCAUGCUGUUGUGCCUGCACGCGUAGGACGCCAGCCUAGGCAUGGCGGUGAACCAGCUGACCGUGCGCGUUGGUGAGCACCGCCGACGCGAUGACCAUGUCUAGAUGCUUCUCUCCGUACACAACAGGCGUGGGAGUGGCUGUGUGCGUGUAUGUAUAUGUGCAUAAAUUUAAUUAUCGCUUUUAAAUUUUAUAGAAAGGAUAAUACACAAAUAUAUACGUAAAGUUCUUAUUUUCUGAAAA